CUUUUUUGUGUGGAUUAAACAAACGGGAUAUCUUAACUAGUGACCCUCGAAGAUGCUGGUCCUGGAGUUUCCGUAGGGGCCAGGGUCCCCAGCAUCUGCAGGAAUCUGGUCAAAGCAAGAGCACGAACUUCAGCCUCUGUGAAGCAAAGAGAAAGGUG